ACACAUGCAAGUCAAGGGGAAAGUCUCAGCUUGCUGAGAUGAGUAUACUGGCGGAUGGGUGAGUAACACGUAGGUAAUCUGCCCUUAGGACAGGGAUAACAUUGCUAACGCGAUGCUAAUACCUGAUGAAGCAACUGUUGAAUCAGAUGGUUGUUAAAGGCUGGCUUUCAGCUAGCGCCUGAGGAUGAGCCUGCGUCUCAUUAGCUAGUUGGUAGGGUAAUGGCCUACCAAGGCGACGAUGGGUAGCCGGCCUGAGAGGGUGAGCGGCCACACUGGGACUGAGAUACGGCCCAGACUCCUACGGGAGGCAGCAGUGAGGAAUAUUGCGCAAUGGCCGAAAGGUUGACGCAGCGACGCCGCGUGAGGGAUGAAGCUUUUAGGAGUGUAAACCUCUGUUAGGAGGGAAGAAAUAAUGGCAAUUCGAACAGGGUUGUCAGAUGACGGUACCUCCAGAGGAAGCCCCGGCUAACUCCGUGCCAGCAGCCGCGGUAAUACGGGGGGGGCUAGCGUUGUCCGGAAUUACUGGGCGUAAAGGGCGCGUAGGCGGGAUAGCAAGUCAGUGGUGCAAACUUUGAGGCUUUAAACUUCAAAGCUUGCCAUUGAUACUGUUAUUCUUGAGUUCGGCAGAGGGAAGUGGAAUUCCUGGUGUAGCGGUGAAAUGCGUAGAUAUCAGGAAGAACACCGGUGGCGAAGGCGGCUUCCUGGUCCGAUACUGACGCUGAGGCGCGAAAGCGUGGGGAGCGAACAGGAUUAGAUACCCUGGUAGUCCACGCUGUAAACGAUGGGUACUAGGUGUUGGUUGUAUUGAUCAGCGCCGGAGCAAACGCAUUAAGUACCCCGCCUGGGGGAUACGGUCGCAAGACUGA
rnacentral:rRNA from 1 species